rnacentral:misc_RNA from 1 species
GAAAUGCGAUAAGUAAUGUGAAUUGCAGAAUUCAGUGAAUCAUCGAAUCUUUGACCGCACCUUGCGCUCCUUGGUAUUCCUUGGAGCAUGCCUGUUUGAGUAUCAUGAAAUCUUCAAAGUAAAUCUUUUGUUAACUCAAUUGGUUUCUACUUUGGUAUUGGAGGUCUUUGCAGCUUCACACCUGCUCCUCUUUGUUCAUUAGCUGGAUCUCAGUGUUAUGCUUGGUUCCACUCGGCGUGAUAAGUUAUCUAUCGCUGAGGACACUGUAAAAGGUGGCCAAGGUAAAUGCAGAUGAACCGCUUCUAAUAGUCCAUUGACUUGGACAAUACUUUUAUGAUCUGAUCUCAAAUCAGGUAGGACUACCCGCUGAACUUAAGC